rnacentral:rRNA from 1 species
GUGGGGAAUAUUGGACAAUGGGCGAAAGCCUGAUCCAGCCAUGCCGCGUGUGUGAAGAAGGUCUUCGGAUUGUAAAGCACUUUAAGUUGGGAGGAAGGGCAGUAAGUUAAUACCUUGCUGUUUUGACGUUACCGACAGAAUAAGCACCGGCUAACUUCGUGCCAGCAGCCGCGGUAAUACGAAGGGUGCAAGCGUUAAUCGGAAUUACUGGGCGUAAAGCGCGCGUAGGUGGUUUUGUAAGUUGGAGGUGAAAUCCCCGGGCUCAACCUGGGAACUGCCACCAAAACUGCAUGACUAGAGUACGUUAGAGGGUAGUGGAAUUUCCUGUGUAGCGGUGAAAUGCGUAGAUAUAGGAAGGAACACCAGUGGCGAAGGCGACUACCUGGACUGAUACUGACACUGAGGUGCGAAAGCGUGGGGAGCAAACAGGAUUAGAAACCCCGGUAGUCC